rnacentral:rRNA from 1 species
GUAGGUGGCGAGCGUUAUCCGGAUUUACUGGGCGUAAAGCGCGUGCAGGCGGUUCCGUAAGUCGGACGUGAAAGCUCCUGGCUUAACUGGGAGAGGCCGUUCGAUACUGCGGGACUUGAGGUCGGGAGAGGGACGUGGAAUUUCCGGUGUAGUGGUGGAAUGCGUAGAUAUCGGAAGGAACACCAGUGGCGAAGGCGGCGUCCUGGCCCGCACCUGACGCUAAGACGCGAAAGCGUGGGUAGCGAACGGGAUUAGAUACCCCGGGUAGUCCACGCCGUAAACGGUGGAUACUAGGUGUUGGUGGCUAUCGUCAUCAGUGCCGUAGCUAACGCGUUAAGUAUCCCGCCUGGGACUACGGCCGCAAGGCUA